GUCGAGCGAGCACAAGAUUCUUCGGAUAAUUUGACUGAGCGGCGGACGGGUGAGUAACGCGUGGGUACCUGCCUCAUACAGGGGGAUAACAGUUAGAAAUGACUGCUAAUACCGCAUAAGACUGCAUGGUAAAAACUCCGGUGGUAUGAGAUGGACCCGCGUCUGAUUAGCUAGUUGGUGGGGUAACGGCCUACCAAGGCGACGAUCAGUAGCCGACCUGAGAGGGUGACCGGCCACAUUGGGACUGAGACACGGCCCAAACUCCUACGGGAGGCAGCAGUGGGGAAUAUUGCACAAUGGGGGAAACCCUGAUGCAGCGACGCCGCGUGAAGGAUGAAGUAUUUCGGUAUGUAAACUUCUAUCAGCAGGGAAGAAAAUGACGGUACCUGACUAAGAAGCCCCGGCUAACUACGUGCCAGCAGCCGCGGUAAUACGUAGGGGGCAAGCGUUAUCCGGAUUUACUGGGUGUAAAGGGAGCGUAGACGGCAUUGCAAGCCAGAUGUGAAAGCCCGGGGCUCAACCCCGGGACUGCAUUUGGAACUGUAGAGCUAGAGUGUCGGAGAGGCAAGUGGAAUUCCUAGUGUAGCGGUGAAAUGCGUAGAUAUUAGGAGGAACACCAGUGGCGAAGGCGGCUUGCUGGACGAUGACUGACGUUGAGGCUCGAAAGCGUGGGGAGCAAACAGGAUUAGAUACCCUGGUAGUCCACGCCGUAAACGAUGACUACUAGGUGUCGGGUGCACAUAUUCGGUGCCGCGGCAAACGCAAUAAGUAGUCCACCUGGGGAGUA
rnacentral:rRNA from 1 species